GACGAACGCUGGCGGCGUGCUUAACACAUGCAAGUCGAACGGAAAGGCCCUGCUUUUGUGGGGUGCUCGAGUGGCGAACGGGUGAGUAACACGUGAGUAACCUGCCCUUGACUUUGGGAUAACUUCAGGAAACUGGGGCUCAUACCGGAUAGGAGCUCCUGCUGCAUGGUGGGGGUUGGAAAGUUUCGGCGGUUGGGGAUGGACUCGCGGCUUAUCAGCUUGUUGGUGGGGUAGUGGCUUACCAAGGCUUUGACGGGUAGCCGGCCUGAGAGGGUGACCGGCCACAUUGGGACUGAGAUACGGCCCAGACUCCUACGGGAGGCAGCAGGGGGGAAUAUUGCACAAUGGGCGGAAGCCGGAGGCAGCAACGCCGCGUGCGGGAUGCCGGCCUUCGGGUGGUAAACCGCUUUCGCCUGUGACGAAGCGUGAGUGACGGUAAUGGGUAAAGAAGCACCGGCUAACUACGUG
rnacentral:rRNA from 1 species